CCUACGGUAGGCUGCAGUGAGGAAUAUUUGACAAUGGACGAGAGCCUGCACCAGCCAAGUAGCGUGAAGGAUGACUGCCUUAUGGGUUGUAAACUUUUUCUACAUGGGAGUAAAUUGUUCUACGUGUGGGCUUUUGUAUGUACCAUAUGAAUAAGGCCACCCCCAUCCCGCGCCAGCAGCCGCGGUAAUACGGAGGUGCCGAGCGUUACUCGGAUUUAUUGUGUUUAAAGGGAGCGUAGUUGGAUUGUUAAGUCAGUUGUUAAAGUUUGCGGCUCAACCGUGAAAUUGCAGUUGAAACUGGCAGGCUGGAGUACAGUAGAGGUGGGCGGAAUUCGUGGUGUAGCGGUGAAAUGCUUAGAUAUCACGAAGAACACCGGUGGCGAAGGCAGCUCACUGGACUGCAACUGACGCUGAGGCUCGAAAGUGUGGGGAGCAAACAGGAGUAGAUACCCUAGUAGUC
rnacentral:rRNA from 1 species